UACAGAGGUCUCAAGCGUUGUUCGGAUUCAUUGGGCGUAAAGCGUGCGCAGGCGGUUUUGUAAGCCAGAUGUGAAAGCCCCGGGCUUAACCUGGGAAUGGCAUUUGGGACUGCAAGGCUGGAGUGUGGCAGAGGAGACUGGAAUUCCUGGUGUAGCGGUGAAAUGCGCAGAUAUCAGGAGGAACACCAGUGGCGAAGGCGGAGACCUGGGCCGAUACUGACGCUGAGGUGCGAAAGCGUGGGGAGCAAACAGG
rnacentral:rRNA from 1 species